UACGUAGGGUGCAAGCGUUGUCCGGAAUUAUUGGGCGUAAAGAGCUCGUAGGCGGUUUGUCGCGUCUGCUGUGAAAACCCGAGGCUCAACCUCGGGCCUGCAGUGGGUACGGGCAGACUAGAGUGCGGUAGGGGAGAUUGGAAUUCCUGGUGUAGCGGUGGAAUGCGCAGAUAUCAGGAAGAACACCCGUGGCUAAGGCGGCUCUCUAGUACGGUACUGACGCUGAGACGCGAAAGCGUGGGGAGCGAACAGGG
rnacentral:rRNA from 1 species